UACGAAGGGGGCUAGCGUUGUUCGGAUUUACUGGGCGUAAAAGCGCACGUAGGCGGAUCGAUCAGUCAGGGGUGAAAUCCCAGAGCUCAACUCUGGAACUGCCUUUGAUACUGUCGAUCUGGAGUAUGGAAGAGGUGAGUGGAAUUCCGAGUGUAGAGGUGAAAUUCGUAGAUAUUCGGAGGAACACCAGUGGCGAAGGCGGCUCACUGGUCCAUUACUGACGCUGAGGUGCGAAAGCGUGGGGAGCAAACAGG
rnacentral:rRNA from 1 species